AAGCAGCAUGGAGCAGAGAGGUAUGUAAUGCCAGGGAUUCUGCACACUGCUGAGUGUUCCAAGGACUCCAUUUGCUGAAUCUAAAAAAGAGAGCGUUUUCUGGAACCUUUCUGGAAAGAAUCAAGCCACUGGCAGCAUGGGCUUUUCUUCACGUCAAGGAACUAUUAUGGGACUUGAAGCAGAUUCGUGUGAAGAACCUAAUUUUCCUAGGGCAGGGAUGAAAGAUGACCCCUUAACAGAAUUUAUUGCUUUCUUGCUGAAGUUACGGAGAAGGCUUGCCCAGGCUGUUGGGACACCUCUGUGUGAAUGCAUAUUUGACAUGUGCCAUGGUGUAGAAGACCUGCAUUCAUUUACACACCUACACAAGAAAGUGAAAUAAUACA